AAAAAAAUAAAUAAAAAUAAAAAUCAGCCAUUAGAUGUCAUAGGGCCAGUGUAGGAUCAUGAGACUAUUUAGAACUUUCAUCUGAUUGUUGGCACUGCACUGGAAGGUGCAGCCGUAAAAAUCAAAAUGCAUAUGUAAACAACUCCAAGUCGUUAGCCAUAUUGUUUGAAAAAGUAAUGUUUACUGACUUGCAUUUGUUUUGCUGUAGCUUAUCUUGGAUUCUGAAAAAAUCUUAACAGAUUCUUGAAUAUUACACCCUUAUAUGAGUGAAGGGAACAGUUACAGCAGUAAUGACUUGCAGGUGUGGAUUGACUUGCCCUCCAGUGAGACUCCUUGGUUUCUGCUUCCUAACACGUCGUCUUCCAGAGGAGUGUUGACACAGGACUCUGGUUUGCCAUUCAUCCAAUGCAGAUCCCAACAUUAUUCUGUAGACUUAUGAUUUGAGUUCAAAAGUGUGGCUUGUUGCAUUGCUAGGGAACCUGAUACUCAUCAGAAAGACCACAGAGAAGACUGAAAGGAGGUCAUUCCUCUCAUCUCCUCAGCCUGCUGGUGCAGAUUUCCAACGUGCCCACAUUAUGGGAGUUUCUGUUUGUAUCCCACAGUAUGUUUGGCCUGAAGACCAUUGUGGAAAUAUGAGAUGACUUUUUAGACCUUUCUUCUAGCCUGAAGAAAGACGUUCUACUUAGGAUUAUCUUGCAAUCCAAUAAAUAAUAGCAGCUGGUCAGAAACCUGGUCUGUGAACACUGUUGGGAACACUGUUGUGUUUGUUUAAUUAUUUGUAAUAAUUUUAUUUUUGCAGGGAUAUGCUAAGUCUUUUCAAGUGCAAAAGGGAAAGAUGAAAAAAAGAAAAAAAAAAAAGAAAGUUUUGAUUUGAAAGGCCAAGUACAGAUCUUUGUGCUGACUUUCAUAUACUCUAGGACCUGCCCUUCUCUUUUUAUGCAUGAUCACAUACGCUCCAAACAUCUAAGAAGCUUCUGUUGGUGUUGGGGGUUAAAAUUCCUAGGAUUAGAAGCAGAGGUUUUGGAGUCAAGGGCCCCCACCUCUGGAAUUAGUUUUCCUUGGUUUCCUGCCAGUGUCCAUCCAGUAAGCUUCAGAACACAUGGGGAAAUGUUUAUAUUUGGGUUAGCUUCUCUCUAUUUUUAGAUGGUUUGGUUUUGCUUUGAAUUUUACUCUACAGAUGUGAAGAUGGUAGAUUGGCUAUUGUUAUUUUCUAAGAGAAUGAUUUAGCACUACCCAUUACGAGAAGGCUCCCGUGUCCUUUAUCAGUAAUCUUGUAAGAACAUGCUGCAGCCUGUGAAUGAAUAUUUGCAUUCUUACUUCCACAUCAUCAUUUUCCAACAUGUGCUACCGGGAUUACGUUGAGCCGAGCUGGAAAAGCUCCCAAGCCCAGAAUGUUGUACCCUGUGCGUGUUGUUGGCCCUGUUGUUUGGAGGGAACAGGACUGCAUGGACUGACAGGGGUUGGGUGAUUUGCUACCUACAUGUGCUCCUGCUUCGCACUGCAAGCAUCAUCUUUGUCAUACAGCAGGAUGUUUAAAUCUUUGUACCCCAAAAUGUGGACGAUCUUUAAAUGAUUAUAAAUAAAUGAUUGUAAGUAGUAUUUGGUUAUAAA
ensembl:lncRNA